rnacentral:misc_RNA from 1 species
GAUGAAGAACGCAGCGAAAUGCGAUAAGUAAUGUGAAUUGCAGAAUUCAGUGAAUCAUCGAAUCUUUGAACGCACCUUGCGCCCUUUGGCCAUUCCGAAGGGCAUGCCUGUUUGAGUAUCAUGAACACCUCAACUCUCAUGGCUUGCCAUGAUGAGCUUGGACUUUUGGGGGUCUUGCUGGCCUGUGGUCAGCUCCUCUCAAAUGAAUUAGCCUGCCAGUGUUUGGUGGCAUCACAGGUGUGAUAACUAUCUACGCUUGUGGUUUUCCACCAGGUAACCUUCAGUGAUGAAGGUUCGCUGGGGCUCAUAAACGUCUCUCCUCAGUGAGGACAGCUCUUUGAACGUUUGAUCUCAAAUCAGGUAGGACUACCCGCUGAACUUAAGCAUAUCAAUAAGCGGAGGA